rnacentral:rRNA from 1 species
UGGGGAAUCUUCCGCAAUGGACGAAAGUCUGACGGAGCAACGCCGCGUGAGUGAUGACGGCCUUCGGGUUGUAAAGCUCUGUUAAUCGGGACGAAUGGUUCUUGUGCAAAUAGUGCGAGGAUUUGACGGUACCGGAAUAGAAAGCCACGGCUAACUACGUGCCAGCAGCCGCGGUAAUACGUAGGUGGCAAGCGUUGUCCGGAAUUAUUGGGCGUAAAGCGCGCGCAGGCGGAUUGGUCAGUCUGUCUUAAAAGUUCGGGGCUUAACCCUGUGAUGGGAUGGAAACUGACAAUCUAGAGUAUCGGAGAGGAAAGUGGAAUUCCUAGUGUAGCGGUGAAAUGCGUAGAUAUUAGGAAGAACACCAGUGGCGAAGGCGACUUUCUGGACGAAAACUGACGCUGAGGCGCGAAAGCCAGGGGAGCGAACGGG